rnacentral:rRNA from 1 species
CAACUGCAAUUGGUGGAUCACUCGGC